AGAGUUUGAUCAUGGCUCAGAUUGAACGCUGGCGGCAGGCUUAACACAUGCAAGUCGAACGGUAACGGGUUGAAAGCUUGCUUUCAAUGCUGACGAGUGGCGGACGGGUGAGUAAGGCUUGGGGAUCUGGCUUUUGGAGGGGGAUAACCAUUGGAAACGAUGGCUAAUACCGCAUAGUAUCGAGAGAUGAAAGGGGUGGGAAACCACUUGCCAAGGGAUGAACCCAAGUGAGAUUAGGUAGUUGGUGGGGUAAAGGCCUACCAAGCCGACGAUCUCUAGCUGGUCUGAGAGGAUGGCCAGCCACACUGGGACUGAGACACGGCCCAGACUCCUACGGGAGGCAGCAGUGGGGAAUAUUGCGCAAUGGGGGGAACCCUGACGCAGCCAUGCCGCGUGAAUGAAGAAGGCCUUCGGGUUGUAAAGUUCUUUCGGUGGUGAGGAAGGUUAGGAUGUUAAUAGCAUACUGAUUUGACGUUAGCCACAGAAGAAGCACCGG
rnacentral:rRNA from 1 species